rnacentral:lncRNA from 1 species
AUGCAUGGUUCUGCUUCCACGAGCUCUGAUGUCUGCUUCUCCCUCCGGGGUUAUUUGCCGCAGGAGCAGGGAGACUCUAGGGACUGUCCUGCUACCCAGGCAGUGUUUGCUUCCCAAGGCAUUUAUCCCACAGGUUACCAAAAAAGAAUGGUGUGUCUUCACAGAGGAUCCUACACUUCGAUACCACUAGAAGAGGAAGAGACGUGCCUCUCCCCCAGUGACCAUGCUGUUUCUCGUCUAUGCAGUGUUGGCGCCCCCUUCCAGCACAGGACCGAAAAUGGCAGCCCAGGAGAAGGGAGCAAACCCUCAAGCAAACAAGUCUCUAGAUGCCUAACGCAGGGAGACUCGCCAAUAGCCUUCAUUUGUAAGAGUGAAGAAGAUACACAUUUUGUAGGCUAAGGUAUGAAGUAGAAGAAAAUGUCCUGAGGUAAUUCAUUUUCACUGGGGUUUGAAAUUUAACAUAUUAACCCGGAAUUUAUUUGCAACUAUUUCAUCACCUCUGACCAAUGACCUGCUAAAGAUAGAGGCUGGUUCUGCUUUCAACAACCGGAAAUCUAGUGUUCCCCACGUGACUCUUCAUAUGAGCAUAUGGGAUGCGCAGUCUGCACUUGCCAAACCCUUUUCUGGACAUCACCACCUAGAAUUUGACAUUGUCGUGUUGCAUGUGGAACUGCUAAGCAGAUUCUGUUUGCUCGUGAUGUAUGCCGUCUCUGAACCAGCAACUACUGAAAAAUGGACCUCACGCAUACAUGAAGUCUCCCCUAGCUGACUCCAUCAGGCUCUUGUGGCCUGUAAAAUAAACAUGACAGAAAUGAACAGGAGGAUUUGAAAAGGCAUGUGUGCUGGUGGGAUGGUAUUAGCCACAGGUAAAAAGCGAAAGAUGGGAAGCCAAAAUCUUACUGAUCAUAUCACUCUAACAAAGCCCCCUAAAAAGAUGCUGUAGACUUUUUUUCCCUUCAUUUGUUAACUGAGCUAAGGUCACUCUUGAAGAUACAAGCUUGCAUGGGAUAGCACUUCAUUCAGCCUUAGCCUACUCCUCCGAAGAAAUCCAGAGGGGCAGAUGUGUCAAUAAAAUUAAAUGCAGAAGACAAAAAUAAAGAUAUGGUGUGUCUUGACUAUGUUUUCCUUACAAUACUCUAAAAAUUAAUUGUUAAAUGAUUAUUUGAAGAGGUAGAGAAU